UACGAAGGGGGCUAGCGUUGCUCGGAAUCACUGGGCGUAAAGGGUGCGUAGGCGGGUCUUUAAGUCAGGGGUGAAAUCCUGGAGCUCAACUCCAGAACUGCCUUCGAUACUGAGAGUCUCGAGUCCGGGAGAGGUGAGUGGAACUGCGAGUGUAGAGGUGAAAUUCGUAGAUAUUCGCAAGAACACCAGUGGCGAAGGCGGCUCACUGGCCCGGUACUGACGCUGAGGUGCGAAAGCGUGGGGAGCAAACAGGG
rnacentral:rRNA from 1 species